rnacentral:rRNA from 1 species
CGCUGGCGGCGUGCUUAACACAUGCAAGUCGAACGAGAACGGAUUAUAGCUUGCUAUAAUUGUCAGCUAAGUGGCGCACGGGUGAGUAAUAUAUAGGUAACGUGCCCCAAAGAAGAGGAUAACAGGUGGAAACGUCUGCUAAGACUCUAUAUGCCUUUAUGACAAAAGUCAGCAAGGGAAAUAUUUAUAGCUUUGGGAUCGGCCUGUACAGUAUCAGUUAGUUGGUGAGGUUAUGGCUCACCAAGACAAUGACGCUUAACUGGUUUGAGAGGAUGAUCAGUCACACUGGAACUGAGACACGGUCCAGACUCCUACGGGAGGCAGCAGUGGGGAAUAUUGCACAAUGGACGAAAGUCUGAUGCAGCAACGCCGCGUGGAGGAUGACACAUUUCGGUGCGUAAACUCCUUUUAUAUAGGAAGAUAAUGACGGUACUAUAUGAAUAAGCACCGGCUAACUCCGUG